rnacentral:lncRNA from 1 species
UUGACGGAGAUGACAACGAAAGAGGGCCGAAUGAACUGGAUACAAUUCAACUGGGACAUGUUGAACAAGAAGUGAUUGUGGCAUGACUUUGUUUUAUUGUAGUGUUGUGUACUGAUGGGUUUCGAAAAUAAUGUUUGCACUUGUGUCGAAACAUUAAUGUUAGCUUAUGUAACAUGUCUUGUUCGUUGAACAUUUCGUUUUAGUGCUAGUUAAAUUCCUUUCAAGUUUGAUGUUGUCCAUGCUCAGCAAUUUAUUUCAAGUGAAAUUGGAUCAGUAGUUUCUGUUAAGUUCCUUUCAGUACUUUCUGUUAAGUUUUCUAGGUAAGUUCCUUUCAAGUUCGAUCAGUACUUUGUGUUAAGUUCCUUUCAAGUUGGAUCGGUACUUUCAAGUUAAGUUUUCAAGUUUUCUGUUAAGUUUUCAAGUUAAGUUCCUUUCAAGUUAAAUUCCUUUGAAGUUGGAUCAGAACUUUUUUACCUUGUGUCUAUUUACAUUGCUUUGAAGUUAUUUGGAAUUUUGAUGUCUGUUGUGUUAACCUUUUGGACAGGUAGUUCAGUAGGGCAUUGGUGGCCCUCCGCUCAUCAGUAGCAGGAGCAUUGAUUUAAUUCUGCGGCAGCUCAAGGAAGGGGGAGAGGCAACUUUACAGGCACUGCACAGGUUCGAAACAAAUGCAUAUGUAUAAUUCGGUGCAACUACCUAUGUGUAAGGUGUGUUUGUUGAUGCCCCUCCGAUUGUGCAUGCAUAGGUUCAAUCAAGUAUGAGUAGUGCAGAGGAACAAAACAGUGACACCGGCA